rnacentral:rRNA from 1 species
GAAGAUGUAACGGGGCUAAACUAUGCACCGAAGCUGCGGCAGCGACACUAUGUGUUGUUGGGUAGGGGAGCGUUCUGUAAGCCUGUGAAGGUGUGUCGUGAGGCAUGCUGGAGGUAUCAGAAGUGCGAAUGCUGACAUAAGUAACGAUAAAGCGGGUGAAAAGCCCGCUCGCCGGAAGACCAAGGGUUCCUGUCCAACGUUAAUCGGGGCAGGGUGAGUCGACCCCUAAGGCGAGGCCGAAAGGCGUAGUCGAUGGGAAACGGGUUAAUAUUCCCGUACUUGGUGUUACUGCGAAGGGGGGACGGAGAAGGCUAUGUUGGCCGGGCGACGGUUGUCCCGGUUUAAGCGUGUAGGUGUGUGUUCCAGGUAAAUCCGGUUCACUUUAACACUGAGGCGUGACGACGAGGCACUACGGUGCUGAAGCAACAAAUGCCCUGCUUCCAGGAAAAGCCUCUAAGCAUCAGGUAACAUCAAAUCGUACCCCAAACCGACACAGGUGGUCAGGUAGAGAAUACCAAGGCGCUUGAGAGAACUCGGGUGAAGGAACUAGGCAAAAUGGUGCCGUAACUUCGGGAGAAGGCACGCUGACACGUAGGUGAAGUGAUUUACUCAUGGAGCUGAAGUCAGUCGAAGAUACCAGCUGGCUGCAACUGUUUAUUAAAAACACAGCACUGUGCAAACACGAAAGUGGACGUAUACGGUGUGACGCCUGCCCGGUGCCGGAAGGUUAAUUGAUGGGGUCAGCGCAAGCGAAGCUCCUGAUCGAAGCCCCGGUAAACGGCGGCCGUAACUAUAACGGUCCUAAGGUAGCGAAAUUCCUUGUCGGGUAAGUUCCGACCUGCACGAAUGGCGUAAUGAUGGCCAGGCUGUCUCCACCCGAGACUCAGUGAAAUUGAACUCGCUGUGAAGAUGCAGUGUACCCGCGGCAAGACGGAAAGACCCCGUGAACCUUUACUAUAGCUUGACACUGAACAUUGAGCCUUGAUGUGUAGGAUAGGUGGGAGGCUUUGAAGUGUGGACGCCAGUCUGCAUGGAGCCGACCUUGAAAUACCACCCUUUAAUGUUUGAUGUUCUAACGUGGACCCGUGAUCCGGGUUGCGGACAGUGUCUGGUGGGUAGUUUGACUGGGGCGGUCUCCUCCUAAAGAGUAACGGAGGAGCACGAAGGUUGGCUAAUCCUGGUCGGACAUCAGGAGGUUAGUGCAAUGGCAUAAGCCAGCUUGACUGCGAGCGUGACGGCGCGAGCAGGUGCGAAAGCAGGUCAUAGUGAUCCGGUGGUUCUGAAUGGAAGGGCCAUCGCUCAACGGAUAAAAGGUACUCCGGGGAUAACAGGCUGAUACCGCCCAAGAGUUCAUAUCGACGGCGGUGUUUGGCACCUCGAUGUCGGCUCAUCACAUCCUGGGGCUGAAGUAGGUCCCAAGGGUAUGGCUGUUCGCCAUUUAAAGUGGUACGCGAGCUGGGUUUAGAACGUCGUGAGACAGUUCGGUCCCUAUCUGCCGUGGGCGCUGGAGAACUGAGGGGGGCUGCUCCUAGUACGAGAGGACCGGAGUGGACGCAUCACUGGUGUUCGGGUUGUCAUGCCAAUGGCACUGCCCGGUAGCUAAAUGCGGAAGAGAUAAGUGCUGAAAGCAUCUAAGCACGAAACUUGCCCCGAG